GAUGAACGCUAGCUACAGGCUUAACACAUGCAAGUCGAGGGGUAACGAGAGGAAAGCUUGCUUUCCUUGUCGACGACCGGCGCACGGGUGAGUAACGCGUAUCCAACCUGCCCCCAACUAAGGAAUAACCUUGCGAAAGUAAGACUAAUACCUUAUAAUUUCCUCAGAUGACAUCUGACGAGGAAUAAAGAUUUAUCGGUUGUGGAUGGGGAUGCGUCUGAUUGGCUUGUUGGCGGGGUAACGGACCACCAAGGCAACGAUCAGUAGGGGUUCUGAGAGGAAGGUCCCCCACAUUGGAACUGAGACACGGUCCAAACUCCUACGGGAGGCAGCAGUGAGGAAUAUUGGUCAAUGGGCGGAAGCCUGAACCAGCCAAGUAGCGUGCAGGAUGACGGCCCUAUGGGUUGUAAACUGCUUUUAUACAGGAAUAAAGUUAGCCACGUGUGGUUAUUUGUAGGUACUGUAUGAAUAAGGACCGGCUAAUUCCGUGCCAGCCGCCGCGGUAA
rnacentral:rRNA from 1 species